rnacentral:rRNA from 1 species
CCUACGGGUGGCUGCAGUGGGGAAUAUUGGACAAUGGGCGAAAGCCUGAUCCAGCCAUGCCGCGUGUGUGAAGAAGGCCUUCGGGUUGUAAAGCACUUUCAGUGGGGAAGAAAGCCUUGGGGCUAAUACCCUCGAGGAAGGACAUCACCCACAGAAGAAGCACCGGCUAACUCCGUGCCAGCAGCCGCGGUAAUACGGAGGGUGCGAGCGUUAAUCGGAAUUACUGGGCGUAAAGCGCGCGUAGGCGGUCUGAUAAGCCGGUUGUGAAAGCCCCGGGCUCAACCUGGGAACGGCAUCCGGAACUGUCAGGCUAGAGUGCAGGAGAGGAAGGUAGAAUUCCCGGUGUAGAGGUGAAAUGCGUAGAGAUCGGGAGGAAUACCAGUGGCGAAGGCGGCCUUCUGGACUGACACUGACGCUGAGGUGCGAAAGCGUGGGUAGCAAACAGGAUUAGAUACCCCAGUAGUC